rnacentral:rRNA from 1 species
UACGUAGGGGGCAAGCGUUGUCCGGAAUUAUUGGGCGUAAAGCGCGCGCAGGCGGUCAUUUAAGUCUGGUGUUUAAUCCCGGGGCUCAACCCCGGAUCGCACUGGAAACUGGGUGACUUGAGUGCAGAAGAGGAGAGUGGAAUUCCACGUGUAGCGGUGAAAUGCGUAGAGAUGUGGAGGAACACCAGUGGCGAAGGCGACUCUCUGGGCUGUAACUGACGCUGAGGCGCGAAAGCGUGGGGAGCAAACAGGAUUAGAAACCCCCGUAGUCC